rnacentral:rRNA from 1 species
UGGGGAAUAUUGGACAAUGGGCGAAAGCCUGAUCCAGCCAUGCCGCGUGUGUGAAGAAGGUCUUCGGAUUGUAAAGCACUUUAAGUUGGGAGGAAGGGCAUUAACCUAAUACGUUAGUGUUUUGACGUUACCGACAGAAUAAGCACCGGCUAACUCUGUGCCAGCAGCCGCGGUAAUACAGAGGGUGCAAGCGUUAAUCGGAAUUACUGGGCGUAAAGCGCGCGUAGGUGGUUUGUUAAGUUGGAUGUGAAAGCCACGGGCUCAACCUGGGAACUGCAUCCAAAACUGGCAAGCUAGAGUACGGUAGAGGGUGGUGGAAUUUCCUGUGUAGCGGUGAAAUGCGUAGAUAUAGGAAGGAACACCAGUGGCGAAGGCGACCACCUGGACUGAUACUGACACUGAGGUGCGAAAGCGUGGGGAGCAAACA